GACGAACGCUGGCGGCGUGCCUAAUACAUGCAAGUAGAACGCUGAAGGAGGAGCUUGCUCUUCUGGAUGAGUUGCGAACGGGUGAGUAACGCGUAGGUAACCUGCCUGGUAGCGGGGGAUAACUAUUGGAAACGAUAGCUAAUACCGCAUAACAGUAGAUGUUGCAUGACAUUUGCUUAAAAGGUGCAAUUGCACCACUACCAGAUGGACCUGCGUUGUAUUAGCUAGUUGGUGGGGUAACGGCUCACCAAGGCGACGAUACAUAGCCGACCUGAGAGGGUGAUCGGCCACACUGGGACUGAGACACGGCCCAGACUCCUACGGGAGGCAGCAGAAGGGAAUCUUCGGCAAUAGACGGAAGUCUGACCGAGCAACGCCGCGUGAGUGAAGAAGGUUUUCGGAUCGUAAAGCUCUGUUGUAAGAGAAGAACGAGUGUGAGAGUGGAAAGUUCACACUGUGACGGUAUCUUGCCAGAAAGGGACGGCUAACUACGUG
rnacentral:rRNA from 1 species